AACGAACGCUGGCGGCAGGCUUAACACAUGCAAGUCGAGCGCCCCGCAAGGGGAGCGGCAGACGGGUGAGUAACGCGUGGGAAUCUGCCCAUCUCUACGGAAUAACGCAUGGAAACGUGUGCUAAUACCGUAUACGUCCUUCGGGAGAAAGAUUUAUCGGAGAUGGAUGAGCCCGCGUCGGAUUAGCUAGUUGGUGGGGUAAAGGCCUAACAAGGCGACGAUCCAUAGCUGGUCUGAGAGGAUGAUCAGCCACACUGGGGAUGAAACACGGCCCAGGCUCCUACGGGGGGCAGCAGUGGGGAGUAUUGGACAAUGGUCGCAAGCCUGAUCCAGCCAUGCCGCGUGAGUGAUGAAGGCCCUAGGGUUGUAAAGCUCUUUCACCGGUGAAGAUAAUGACGGUAACCGGAGAAGAAGCCCCGGCUAACUUCGUGCCAGCCGCCGCCGUAAUAC
rnacentral:rRNA from 1 species